GAUGAACGCUGGCGGCGUGCCUAAUACAUGCAAGUCGAGCGAACAGACGAGGAGCUUGCUCCUCUGACGUUAGCGGCGGACGGGUGAGUAACACGUGGAUAACCUACCUAUAAGACUGGGAUAACUUCGGGAAACCGGAGCUAAUACCGGAUAAUAUAUUGAACCGCAUGGUUCAAUAGUGAAAGACGGUUUUGCUGUCACUUAUAGAUGGGUCCGCGCCGCAUUAGCUAGUUGGUAAGGUAACGGCUUACCAAGGCAACGAUGCGUAGCCGACCUGAGAGGGUGAUCGGCCACACUGGAACUGAGACACGGUCCAGACUCCUACGGGAGGCAGCAGUAGGGAAUCUUCCGCAAUGGGCGAAAGCCUGACGGAGCAACGCCGCGUGAGUGAUGAAGGUCUUCGGAUCGUAAAACUCUGUUAUUAGGGAAGAUCAAAUGUGUAAGUAACUAUGCACGUCUUGACGGUACCUAAUCAGAAAGCCACGGCUAACUACGUG
rnacentral:rRNA from 1 species